rnacentral:rRNA from 1 species
AAACUAACAAGGAUUCCCCUAGUAACGGCGAGCGAAGCGGGAAGAGCUCAAAUUUGAAAGCUGGCGUCUUCGGCGUCCGCGUUGUAAUCUCGAGACGUGUUUUCCGUGCGGCUCUAUGGACAAGUCCCUUGGAACAGGGCAUCGUAGAGGGUGAAAAUUCCGUACUUGCCAUGGAAGUACCGUGCUUUGUGAUACACGCUCCAAGAGUCGAGUAGUUUUGGGAUUGCUGCUCAAAGUGGGUGGUAGACUCCAUCUAAAGCUAAAUAUCGGGGAGAGACCGAUAGCGAACAAGUACCGUGAGGGAAAGAUGAAAAGCACUUUGGAAAGAGAGUUAAAAGUACGUGAAAUUGUCGAAAGGGAAGCACUUGAAGUCAGCCAUGCUGCUUGAGACUCAGCCUGGCUUUUGCUUGGUGUAUUUCUCGGUAGCAAGCCAGCAUUGGUUUGUGUCGUCGGAGAAGCGUAUGGGGAAUGUGGCAUCCUCGGAUGUGUUAUAGCCCUGUGCUGGAUACGACGACGCAGACCAAGGAACGCAGUGUGCCCUCUGGGCGGGUCUUCGGACACCUUCACACUUAGGAUGCUGGCGUAAUGGCUUUAAGUGGC